ensembl:lncRNA
CGUGUGAGACGAUUUAUGGCGUCUGAAAGAGGUUAGAGCAUUUAAAAGGUGUGUAUGGAAUAAAGGAGUGUGAAAUAUAUUUCUUGCGUGAUGAAAAGUAGGAUGUGCUAAAGUUUGAAAGUGUUUUUAAUUCAAGAAAACAAAAAACAAAGGAGUUAGAUUAGUUUGAGGAACAGGAAAUAUUGCUCUAUGUACCGGGGCUGCAGCGACAGGAAAUAGUGAACAGGAACUGUGCAUGCCCAUAUAUGGGAACUGAGUGUGUACAGAAAGAACACAGAGAGAUAGAUGAGUUAACUCUAGGCACAUGAAGCAAAUGAAGCCUUUAAGAAAAAUGCAUAUAUUACUAAUUAUAUGGUUUAGUGUGUAAAUACAGGUGGGCGUCUUUCAACUUUGCAACCUUGAGUUCAGCAGCAGAAAAGUAGAUUAAAAGAAUUGGGAGAAUAAGCCAGUUUUUGGCUCGAAAUUGUGCGGCUGGAUCUCUCACUUUGUCCCUGAAGCGGAGAAGAAGUUUAAAGGACAGUUAAUCGCCUGAUGAAGACCGAUAGAACAUCGUGGACUUGAAUACAGCAGGCAAACGACAGUGCCACUGAUCCAGUAACACUGAUGACGACUGACGACCAGCAGCAGCAUGUAAGAGUAAUGUAACAUGUACUGUGAAAAUACAGGCUGGGCAGUUGAACAGUGGGAUAAAGAAUUGUGGAAGAGCACUGGACAUUGAGUGAUAUUUUGCCAUGCUGGGACUUAAUCUGAAAGAAAAGACUGUAAAGAAACAGAGAAGAAGACAGCAGCUGAGUUGAGACUGUGUUUGCUGGAGCUUUGAAGCCCGAAUAGGACAUUGUGCAGAGAGGACCAGUGAGAGAUGAAGCUGGACGAGUUUGACUGCGAGAAUAUAGGAUAUAAUUGGAUUGAAAAUUGAAGCCUGAACUCAUGAAUUGUUUAGGGAUGUCCACUACAGCAUAACAAAGAGUUUGUUAUUUUCAGGAGUAAAGCAGACCUGGACCAAUUCUCCAGAUCCAGGAGUCAGACGAAACUACAGGUUAAGAUGAAUGGAUAUGUUAAGGCAAGUUUCUGGUUGAAUUGUUCACAGCAUGAUGUGUCCAGGAACCUGAAAAGCAAGCCCCAGCUCCUGGCUGAAGACCAGGAGGGCGGUAAUUUAAGGUGGGAAAUCAAAAUGUGGGUUAGUAACUCGGGGAAAAAGAAAACUGACUGCUUAACUGGAGAGUUGGGAAGAAGUCUGGGAGACUGUGAAGCCAUAGAUGCAAAAUAACAUAUACCCAUACACACACAAACAGAAAAUACAUUAACCUUAUAAAGACAAGCUCCUGAAGCUUAAUGAACAGAUAUUGAUUAAAACCUGGCUAAGAACAUAAGCAUAUGCAAUGAAGAUCUGCUUGCUGCUUGUAUGAGUGAGAGAAUGGUGUGAAUGGUUAAUACAAUUGAUGGAAAGAUUUAAAAGAGAUGGAAAAAAAAAACAAAACAAAAGAAAAGUGUUUAUAAGAGUGACUCAGGAGUGCUCUUGCACUGAUUGAUCAAAGUAAGUGAUUAGUAUAGAAAGAAAAUGAAAAUAAUUAAAUAAUGUGAUAAAGUUUAAACAUGUAUUUCUUUUGCCAAGUUAAAUUGUUGAGAUAUGGCUGAGUAUGAAAAAGUUUGAGAGCUUGUGUGAAUGUGGACAGAGGAGCUUGCUGUGUGUGUGUGAUUGAGGCCUUAAAGGAGGGGCAGAUUGUUCAGAGGUGCAAAUUUGAUUAGGAGGUUUAUAAAUUAGUGUUGACACAUUGUUGUAAGGUGUUAGGCUGAAUCUGAGUAUGGUAAAGUGCUUAACCGGGGUUAUUGUUGUGUACUGAAACGGUGUAGCUUUUGGCGAGGU